UAGGGAAUCUUCGGCAAUGGACGAAAGUCUGACCGAGCAACGCCGCGUGAGUGAAGAAGGUUUUCGGAUCGUAAAACUCUGUUGUUAGAGAAGAACAAGGACGUUAGUAACUGAACGUCCCCUGACGGUAUCUAACCAGAAAGCCACGGCUAACUACGUGCCAGCAGCCGCGGUAAUACGUAGGUGGCAAGCGUUGUCCGGAUUUAUUGGGCGUAAAGCGAGCGCAGGCGGUUUCUUAAGUCUGAUGUGAAAGCCCCCGGCUCAACCGGGGAGGGUCAUUAGAAACUGGGAGACUUGAGUGCAGAAGAGGAGAGUGGAAUUCCAUGUGUAGCGGUGAAAUGCGUAGAUAUAUGGGGGAACACCAGUGGCGAAGGCGGCUCUCUGGUCUGUAACUGACGCUGAGGCUCGAAAGCGUGGGGAGCAAACAGG
rnacentral:rRNA from 1 species